rnacentral:lncRNA from 1 species
AAAAAUGAAAAAAAAACUAAAGUUUAUUUGUUUCUCUUAGAUGAUAAGCAAAUAAGAGCACCGAGAGAGAUAAAGACUGUCACGCCCCCGCCUCUGCGAGGCACGUGAGGCACGUAGUGCUCACGUGGGGGCUACAUCAGGGGGGAACACGAGGCUCCCCUGCCAGAUAUUGUCCGGUUCUGGGGCUUCAUGCAAGCGUCCUUCAUCCCUCCUCGAUUUUGUUUUUCACCCAAAACGCAUCUGCAGGAUUAGGAGACACCCACCUCAUAUGCCCAGGCUCUGAAACGAGUCUUUCCGAUGUGGGACUAUUGGGCCUCACACCCUUCCCACCAUCGGACAAGAGCCGUCCUCGGCUUUGAUACCAAAUGUCACGUCCCCGCCUGCCCGCUAAUGAGGGCCGUCUGCCGAGCUAUUAUAAUCCGCUGGCGAGAGCCGUACAUAGCAAUCUGAG